ensembl:scaRNA
AGUCAUAAUGCUUUAUAAGACAUUGUCAAACUGUUUUCUAAAAUGGCUAUAUCUCCCUGUGGCCAAUGUUUUCUUCCCCAGCACAUUAAGUCGUGUGUAUGGGAUAGUGGAGCACCUGAUGAUUAGGGAUUUUGUCAGUGUGUAUUUUGGAGAGUGAAAGGUUCACAACUGACUAGUAUCCAAAAGAACUUGUUUGAGGAAUGGCAGGCAAGGUGUGAUAGUGCAUGACCGUAAGUUUUCAAUCUGGGACC